rnacentral:rRNA from 1 species
GAUGAACGCUAGCUACAGGCUUAACACAUGCAAGUCGAGGGGUAACGAGAGGGAAGCUUGCUUUCCUUGUCGACGACCGGCGCACGGGUGAGUAACGCGUAUCCAACCUGCCCCCAACUAGGGAAUAACCUUGCGAAAGUAAGACUAAUACCCUAUAAUUUCCUCAGAUGUCAUCUGACGAGGAAUAAAGAUUUAUCGGUUGUGGAUGGGGAUGCGUCUGAUUAGCUUGUUGGCGGGGUAACGGCCCACCAAGGCAACGAUCAGUAGGGGUUCUGAGAGGAAGGUCCCCCACAGUGGAACUGAGAUACGGUCCAAACUCCUACGGGAGGCAGCAGUGAGGUAUAUUGGUCAAUGGGCGGAAGCCUGAACCAGCCAAGUAGCGUGCAGGAUGACGGCCCUAUGGGUUGUAAACUGCUUUUAUACAGGAAUAAAGUUAGCCACGUGUGGUUAUUUGUAGGUACUGUAUGAAUAAGGACCGGCUAAUUCCGUGCCAGCCGCCGCAGUAA